UCAUCUUGAAUUAUAAUGCCUACAUGUU
rnacentral:piRNA from 1 species